rnacentral:rRNA from 1 species
AGCAGCCGCGGUAAUUCCAGCUCCAAUAGCGUAUAUUAAAGUUGUUGCAGUUAAAAAGCUCGUAGUUGAAUUUCGGGGUCAGUAGGCUGGUCGUGCCACCGGUACGUACUGGUCUCACUGAUUCCUCCUUCCUGAAGAACCGUAAUGCCAUUAAUUUGGUGUUGCGGGGAAACAGGACUGUUACUUUGAAAAAAUUAGAGUGUUUAAAGCAGGCUAACGCUUGAAUACAUUAGCAUGGAAUAAUGAAAUAGGACGAUCGAUCCUAUUUUGUUGGUUUCUAGGAUUGACGUAAUGAUUAAUAGGGAUAGUUGGGGGCAUUAGUAUUCAAUUGUCAGAGGUGAAAUUCUUGGAUUUAUUGAAGACUAACUACUGCGAAAGCAUUUGCCAAGGAUGUUUUCAUUAAUCAAGAACGAAAGUUAGGGGAUCGAAGACGAUCAGAUACCGUCGUAGUCUUAACCAUAAACUAUGCCGACUAGGGAUCGGAUGAUGUUAAUUUUAUAAUGACUCAUUCGGCGCCUUA